GACGAACGCUGGCGGCGUGCUUAACACAUGCAAGUCGAACGGAAAGGCCCUGCUUUUGUGGGGUGCUCGAGUGGCGAACGGGUGACUAACACGUGAGUAACCUGCCCUUGACUUUGGGAUAACUUCAGGAAACUGGGGCUAAUACCGGAUAGGAGCUCCUGCUGCAUGGUGGGGGUUGGAAAGUUUCGGCGGUUGGGGAUGGACUCGCGGCUUAUCAGCUUGUUGGUGGGGUAGUGGCUUACCAAGGCUUUGACGGGUAGCCGGCCUGAGAGGGUGACCGGCCACAUUGGGACUGGGAUACGGCCCGGACUCCUACGGGGGGCAGCGGUGGGGAAUAUUGCACAAGGGGCGAAAGCCUGAUGCAGCAACGCCGCGUGCGGGAUGACGGCCUUCGGGUUGAAACCGCUUUCGCCUGUGACGAAGCGUGAGUGACGGUAAUGGGUAAAGAAGCACCGGCUAACUACGUG
rnacentral:rRNA from 1 species